AUUGAACGCUGGCGGCAGGCCUAACACAUGCAAGUCGAACGAGUGGCGGACGGGUGAGCAAUGUCUGGGAAACUGCCUGAUGGAGGGGGAUAACUACUGGAAACGGUAGCUAAUACCGCAUACCAUCGGAUGUGCCGAGAUGGGAUUAGCUAGUAGGUGGGGUAAAGGCUCACCUAGGCGACGAUCCCUAGCUGGUCUGAGAGGGUGACCAGCCACACUGGAACUGAGACACGGCCCAGACUCCUACGGGAGGCAGCAGUAGGGAAUAUUGCGCAAUGGGCGAAAGCCUGAUGCAGCCAUGCCGCGUGAGUGAAGAAGGCCUUCGGAUUGUAAAGUACUGUCGGCGGAGAAGCGUUACCCACAGAGGAAGCAACGGCUAACUACGUGCCAGCAGCCGCGGUAAUUC
rnacentral:rRNA from 1 species